CAAAGGAAGCGAUUCCGGCAACGGAUGGGCAUGCGUGACAUUAGCUAGUUGGCGGGGCAACGGCCCACCAAGGCGACGAUGUCUAGGGGUUCUGAGAGGAAGGUCCCCCACACUGGUACUGAGACACGGACCAGACUCCUACGGGAGGCAGCAGUGAGGAAUAUUGGUCAAUGGGCGCGAGCCUGAACCAGCCAAGUCGCGUGAGGGAUGACGGCCCUACGGGUUGUAAACCUCUUUUGUCGGGGAGCAAAUUCCGCCACGCGUGGCGGAGUCGAGAGUACCCGAAGAAAAAGCAUCGGCUAACUCCGUGCCAGCAGCCGCGGUAAUACGGAGGAUGCGAGCGUUAUCCGGAUUUAUUGGGUUUAAAGGGUGCGUAGGCGGACUGUCAAGUCAGCGGUAAAAUACGGGGGCUCAACCUCCGCCCGCCGUUGAAACUGACGGUCUUGAGUGGGCGAGAAGUAUGCGGAAUGCGUGGUGUAGCGGUGAAAUGCAUAGAUAUCACGCAGAACUCCGAUUGCGAAGGCAGCAUACCGGCGCCCAACUGACGCUGAAGCACGAAAGCGUGGGUAUCGAACAGGAUUAGAUACCCUGGUAGUCCACGCAGUAAACGAUGAAUACUAGCUGUCCGGGGCGAAUG
rnacentral:rRNA from 1 species